rnacentral:rRNA from 1 species
CCUACGGGUGGCAGCAGUGAGGAAUAUUGGUCAAUGGCCGAGAGGCUGAACCAGCCAAGUCGCGUGAGGGAAGAAUGUCCUAUGGAUUGUAAACCUCUUUUGUCAGGGAGCAAAGUCACCCACGUGUGGGUGUUGGAGAGUACCUGAAGAAAAAGCAUCGGCUAACUCCGUGCCAGCAGCAGCGGUAAUACUGAGGAUGCGAGCGUUAUCCGGAUUUAUUGGGUUUAAAGGGUGCGUAGGCGGGUUAUCAAGUCAGCGGUAAAAGCGUGGAGCGAAACUCCAUCCAGCCGUUGAAACUGAUGAUCUGGAGUGGGCGAGAAGUAUGCGGAAUGCGUGGUGUAGCGGUGAAAUGCAUAGAUAUCACGCAGAACUCCGAUUGCGAAGGCAGCAGACCGGCGCCCGACUGACGCGGAAGCACGAAAGCGUGGGUAUCGAACAGGAUUAGAUACCCCAGUAGUC